UACGUAGGGGGCUAGCGUUGUCCGGAUUUAUUGGGCGUAAAGGGCUCGUAGGCGGCCAACUAAGUCAGACGUGAAAUCCCUCGGCUUAACCGGGGAACUGCGUCUGAUACUGGAUGGCUUGAGUUCGGGAGAGGGAUGCGGAAUUCCAGGUGUAGCGGUGAAAUGCGUAGAUAUCUGGAGGAACACCGGUGGCGAAGGCGGCAUCCUGGACCGGUAUUGACGCUGAGGCGCGAAAGCCAGGGGAGCAAACGGGG
rnacentral:rRNA from 1 species